rnacentral:lncRNA from 1 species
ACCACAGAAAUAGAUAGACUUAGAGAGAAGUCAAGACUCAUACUAUUCAGGACAACGUUUAAUAGAUGGUCUUAGUAGGUAGAAUUAAUCAGCGGGGUCAGCAAGACUAAUAAGCCACUGGAUAUCAACCCCUUCAGUAUUCUGAUCCCCUGGAAGGAUAACUUACUGGCGCUGAAUACAAAGUAGAACUACCAUGCAUGUAAAAGCACAAACUAAUCUCACAUACUCCGUCUGAUUCAGAAACACAAAAAUAUGGCUAAUACUACACCAUCAUCAUCAUAGUUCUGUAGAGAAAUAUAUAGGACAAUUCCACAGCAGUAAGCUUGUAAACUUGUAGUUCAAACCUAGAGAGAGUUCAGUUGUCUUCAGUCUGCACUUUGAAUAUCAAGAUUUCUGCAAUAAUUCCAUCCCUUCAAGUCCACACCUAAAAGGCCUUCAAAAAGAAAUCAUGGAUGUCAGUAUGCUAUUGCUAACGAUGAUUUAAAAAAACAUAUGAAGAUAGGAGCGUUACCGUAGCAAGUCCCUCUUAGACAUGGAAUUCAAGGGUACUACAAAAGAUCGUCAUGUAUGUAUUGGAAGUAAAUUUCUUCCGAGUGAAACCUUUUUUAUGGUAAAGAUCUGAGGGAAACGUUAUUAUAACACAAAUGUGACACUUCUUUCCAUAUCUACACUUACUGUGUUCCAAAUGGAAGAAUAAGUACAACUGAUUUCAUUGCCAAAGAAUUCAUACUCUGCCCACUUGAACUGUUGAUCUUAAAACUGCAUCCACCAAGUUAUAAUGUAGAUUUCAUACUCUCAUUCCACUACCCUAACCCAUCCUGCAAGUCUACCACCACAACCAAAAUAGGUCCAAUUGUUAAGCUUCAGAAUUCAAAUUAUCAAUCAGCAGUUACAUCAACACCUUCAACCUAAGCAAAGCCAACGAUUACGUAUUAGAACAACUCGAGGUAACAAACAAACGCUACUCUUAAUUCUUAACAAAUGUUGUGCUGAUUUCUUAUUAGUUAUGGAAUUUCAGACACCUUCAUCUUCAGCAGUAUUUUUUUUGAACUUGGUUCUUAAUGACAUAUGUCCAAGUAGGGCCAGAAGUAAAAACAGAGAUGACCUUUAAGUAGGUUACCAGAGGUCCAAGGGGAUUGUGAUGUGCUGGAUAAAAAAUGAAAUAAAUUCAACCAAGACAUUGGCUUCCUGGUGUAUUCUUCUUCAUCUUUAUCAUCACCCUGGAACCUACAAAUAUAGUAUUGAGAAUAACUCUAACCAACUUUAUUGGCAUCCAUCAAAUUAUCCAAGUGAAGCUGCUUCCAUAAUGAGACCUACCAAUUUCCAAGUCCAUACAAUUAAUUGAACACUUGAAAAACCACCGGUUGUGUUGUUUUUUGGAUUCAAAGAAAUCGCCACAUUUGUCACUGGAUCUGUCCUUCACUUGACACCAUCUCUAGCAAAAGUCAGUCCAAGAAGCUGACCAUCACCUGCUGCUAGAACCAAACGAAAGGAAAAUAUGUGAUAUCUAUGAUUAAGGCAAUAACUCUGAGAUGGGCAAUUGAUAGUAGUUUGGACAGGAAAAUGUACACAAUAUUUAUGCUUGAGCCAAGAAGUCAGAAACAUUGUAUAAUAGGUUGGAUAUCAAACAGGCUACUAAGAUUUACAGGCAUAAUCAACAGGCCUGGCAGAACAAAUAAAACAAUUUUUUGAACAGUUCAUAAUAAUAAGCUUCAUUCGAUCAACUAAAAUGGCUACAACAAACAUAAGCCAUGGACUGUGAGCCCUAAACCCCAAAUUGUUAGUAAGAAAUUGAUUUGAGUUAGGGAGACAUUAAUAGAGUACUAAAACCCUAGAAAACCAACGCUGCAGCUGGGUCAUUGCCAACCAAAAAUUCCAUAAUCGUUUUCUAGAGCUGGAUUAGAAUGCUCAGCUCUGUUUGUUGCUUAUAGUUAAAAACAAAGAACCAACAACUCAUAAGCCCGAUGAAAAAGAGAGAUUCAGAACAACUUACACAAACCAAUUACUUCUUGCUUCCCUAUCUUGUAAGACCGAACAACCAGCUUCGCCAUCCCUGUCUUCGUGGGGGUUGUGGUAGACUUAAUGCAACUCUUUUUUUUUGUUGAAAACAGAACACCUAGCCGUGAAGGAGCUGCAAAGAGAACACAUACAUUGGAGAUUGAUGGGUACAAUUUUUCUAUUAUUCACCAUCAGGGACGAUCAUCGCAAAAUUGGGUGAAUCUGAAAAAAGAAGGCAGCGAGAGAACUACGAUGGAGGGAUGAAAGCAAGAGAGGAUUUGGAAGAGAGGAAGUAAGAUGAGGGAGAAGGAGGCUUAGAGACUGGGAAAAACUUUGGAAGUGCAUUUGAAAUGGAACUGAAUGAUCGAGAGACUGGUUGGGAUCCAAUCCAAUCAAGAAACAGAAGUACUGUUCUAUUUGGCAGGGGACUGGGGGUGUACUGUUCAUCGCGAACAGUAUGCUACAGUUGGUGGUUGCUCCGUUUUGUUGUGAUUUGGGUGCGGGUGAAUUGGGUUCUGGCCCGCCCCGCGUUGGUCCGUUUCCUAGUCGGAAUGAGAAAAUCAAACCGCGUAAAUAUGUGACCGUUGGGGUUGAUCGGAAUCGUAAUUAGGAACAAACUUCAGGCAUUACCUGCGCACCAAGUAAGUAAUUAGAGUAGCUAACUAUAUAAAAAACUAACCACAGUAGUAAAGUCUUACUUCCGCCGUCAAUUCAAAUCAUCAAUUCCCUCCCCUUCUCCUUCUUCUGAAGCGAUCAGUUCACAAUAAUGGCGAAUGCUGCACCCCCCUCAUCAAACCUUAUUGAUUUGCUGGAGUUGUCUCUUACCACCGACCGAUUUCGCUGGCCUCAAGAUCGUCUCCAAUUUCCCCAAACCCCUGUUAUUCUCAUCAGCAAAUCAGACCACCAUUCUACGGCGGCGACGGAGGAGAUCAAGAAGCCUUCGAUGCCCAAGUCCAAGUCGUUGCUGGUAGAGAACGCGCGGAAACUGGCCUGCAGCAUUAAAAGGAAGACAGAGGAUCGUAAUUACGGAGAUGGUCACGAUGAGUCGAGGAAGCGGCCUAGGAUUCAGGAAGCCGCGCCUGCUGCUGCAACACCGUUAGUGAAGCCUAGGACGACUGUUACAAAGACAGCCCCGAAGAAGAAGGCGGCGCCUUGGUUCGUUCGUAUUCGUAAGGAACGGGCUAAUAAUUGCCUCCUCGGCAAAGACCGCCCCGGCGAUGUCUUUCAGCAUAGGCGACCACUACUCUUGACCUAACUAGGCAACGCAAGCAAUGGUUGGAUCUGUUGCAGUAGAUAUUUCUUAGGGUUUUUUGUUCUGUUUCUUUCUAUGUACACAUUAAUUCGUUUUGUGAGUAAAUACAUAAUAAAAUUCCACUCCCAAUUAUUUCUUUCCUUGUUCUUCGCUCUUGGUGAUCUCAUGUGAUACAUUAAUUAAUUAAUUAUGCACCAACCCUAAUUGAAGCUCGUAUGGUUAAAACAAUCAGCCAUUCAGGCUUAAUAUUAUAAAAUACUACUUCAAUUAUAAAAUUACUAUAUUCGGAUUCUUGAGUUCACAUAAAAUAAUGGCAAAAUACAGAGGAUUUUUUCGUAAAACAAGCAGGCACACUUUCUUUAUUUCUAAUGCACCAAAAUACCAAUAUAUAUAUAUAUACUUUCAAGGCAUAGACAAGGAAAGAAACAAAUCCAAAGGCCAAUUACUGUAUCGAAGCAGUAUAGAAUGAAAUCGUUGCACUAGAUACAACAUAAAGUAUGUGAAUAAUUGGUACCAACUUUGAGCAACUUCUUCAUUUGUGAUCAAUAUGUAUGUGAACAACUUGUAUUGUACCUGCAAUUACAUACCGGUUAGAGAUGAUUAAUAUCCAUUCUGAUCACCACCUCUUGGAUUUGUAAUAAUAUGGUCAUUAAUAUUUUAAAAGUAACGUACAUAUUAGUAAUUAACUUAUUUCAGUUGUAUGGCCAACACUCUGUUCAUCAUAUCAUCACCAAUUCACCACCUCAACUUAGUAUUUGUUUUCAUAUCACCCUGUACGUACCAUGCCCUCUAUUCUAUUAUAGACCCAACCUACUUAACACUUUAUAGGUAAUUGGUUUAAAUAAGGAAGUUGGGUUAAAUUAGAUUGGUUGAGUAGGUUGCUCUUCGGAUAGAAUAAGGACAUAAGUGGAAGUUGGCAUGAUGACUUGUACUGAACAUGAUGUUGAUAAAAUGACCACAUUGUUACGAUUGAAAUAGGUUAGAGAUACGUAUGUUACUUUGUACAGCUUGGUGACCAUGUUGUUACAAACUGUUAGGCUGCUGACCACACUAGAUAUUAAGCAUUGGCUGGUUAAAUAGUUUCAUAUUUUUGUUAAUUUUGAAGUAAAUUGAGUUGAGGUAUUAUGACUCAUAAGUCUCCUUUUCCUAAUUAGACCAGGAAGCGAAUGGACUCACUCCCCCCUAUAAAAAGAAAAGCUGCGCAAUACCAAUAAGUCGUAAAUCAGAACCCCGACCAUCUCCUCUUUUCUAUUAUGUGCAGAUACCGGAACAUUCUAAGAGCUAUUCUUGCUCAAAUAAUGCCAAUCGUGGAGACUUUAACGACGGCGACGACAAAGACACCAACGGUGUUGAGAAUGGCGGCGUCCUCGUUUUACAUGGCCCAGCACAAUCACCACGGCAAUCCCAGUCACAGAACUGAAGACUGCCACCUCAUCUACCACGAACCAGACGGCCACGGAGCCAUCUGCGAACGGGAAGGCGGUGGAGGGGAGAGCGAUAGUGGAGGCCGGAGACAUCGUUGUGACCGGGACCGACGGUUUGUUCGACAACAUGCAUUGUUGGGGGAUUGAGAAGAUUCUGGAAGAAGGCAGGGAUUUGGGGACGGGGGAUUUGGCCCAUUUGGCCAAAGCAAUUGGACUAACGGCGUUCGGAAAUUCAAUGGAUGUAACGUAUGAGUCGCCUUUUGCAAUAGAAAUGCGGAAGCACGGGAUAGAGGUCCGAGGAGGGAAGAGGGACGAUAUCACGGUGGUUGUUGGCCGGAUUCAGCCCCUCUCCGAUUUCGCCGGCCAAGAUGGCUGAUCCGUCCAGUUUAGAUAUAUUAUGCCUAGUUUUUAAGUAUAAGAUUUUUAUUUUUUUUCUAAAAUUAUUUUUUGCACUCACAAAUCCAUUUAGGGAUUAGGGAAAUUUUGAUAUAUCUUUCUUUUUGGGAAAUUAAUUAUUCUAACCAAAUUAACUUUCCCUUUUCAUUUAAUCAAAUAUGGGUAAUAAAUAUAUUUAGAACAACUCGAGGUAACAAACAAACGCUACUCUUAAUUCUUAACAAAUGUUGUGCUGAUUUCUUAUUAGUUGUGGAAUUUCAGACACCUUCAUCUUCAGCAGUAUUUUUUUUGAACUUGGCUCUUAAUCUCUUUGUUUAUUCGAGGGGCACAUAUGUCCAAGUAGGGCCAGAAGUAAAAACAGAGAUGACCUUUAAGUAGGUUACC